rnacentral:rRNA from 1 species
AUUGAACGCUGGCGGCAUGCCUUACACAUGCAAGUCGAACGGCAGCGCGGGAGCAAUCCUGGCGGCGAGUGGCGAACGGGUGAGUAAUAUAUCGGAACGUGCCCAGUAGUGGGGGAUAGCCCGGCGAAAGCCGGAUUAAUACCGCAUGAGACCUGAGGGUGAAAGCGGGGGAUCGCAAGACCUCGCGCUAUUGGAGCGGCCGAUAUCAGAUUAGCUAGUUGGUGGGGUAAAGGCCUACCAAGGCAACGAUCUGUAGUUGGUCUGAGAGGACGGCCAGCCACACUGGGACUGAGACACGGCCCAGACUCCUACGGGAGGCAGCAGUGGGGAAUUUUGGACAAUGGGCGCAAGCCUGAUCCAGCAAUGCCGCGUGCAGG